rnacentral:rRNA from 1 species
AAUAUAAAAUACUUGUUUGGAAGGAAAGUUUUAAAGUGCGUUAUGAAAAAUAAUUUUUUUAUAUUUUUGUUAGUAGCUUAGAGUAAAAAUUAAGGUAAAGAACUAUAGUAAAAAGUACCGUAGGGGAAAGUAACAUAAAAUUAUGAAAAGUAAAAUUAAAAGUUUGUACCUUGUGUAUCAGAGAAGAUUUAUAUAAGUUAAGUAUUUAUAGGUCUCGAAAUAAAAUAUAGUAAUUUUUAUAAAAUUUUCUUUUUAGAAAAAAAGAAUUAAAUAUAAAAUUAAAAGUGAAAUGCUAGCUGAGUUUUAUAAUAUCUAGUUUUUCUAAAAAUAAAUUAAAUUUAGUUUUUAUAUUGUAAGUGUAUAAAAUUAAAUGGUAGGAGGGAUUAGCUUCUUAUGAAAAAAAAGGUGGAAAAGUUAAGUGAAAGUAAAAGAAUGUAAAUUAGGCUUAAAAGUAGCUAUAUUUAUAAAGUGUUUAAACUAGGUUAUAUUGUUUAUAAUAUUUUGAAAUAACUUUCUAGGGUAUAGAAAAAUUAAUCUAAACUUAAGAGAAUAAGAUAUAAUAAUUUUAUUAGUAAAAUUUAUUAAGUAAAAAAUAUAUUAAAAUAUUUGUGUAAAUUUAGUAUAGUGGCAUUAGUAAAAAGGAAUUCAGCAAAAAUUUUCUUUGCCUGUUUAUCAAAAACAUGUCUUUUUGUGAGUGAGAAAAAGUCAAACCUGCCCACUGAUUUUUUAAGGGCCGCGGUAUUUUGACCGUGCGAAGGUAGCAUAAUCAUUAGUUUUUUAAUUGGAAUCUUGUAUGAAUGGUUAGACAAAAGAAAGUCUGUCUCUUUAUUAAAAAAUUGAAUUUAACUUUUAAGUGAAAAGGCUUAAAUAAGUUAAAGGGACGAUAAGACCCUAUAAAGUUUGAUAUAGAGUAUUAUUUAAUUGAAUUGAAAUUAAAAAUUUUAUAAUACAGUUUAUUUUUUUGGGGUGAAAAAGGUAAAAUGUUCAGUAACUGCUAUAAAUAUAAUACAUGUUAGUUGAAAUAAGUUUUUAAAAGAUCCAAAAUAAAGAUUAUAAGUUUAAGUUACUUUAGGGAUAACAGCGUUAUUUUUUUUGAGAGUACAUAUCGAAAAAAAAGUUUGCGACCUCGAUGUUGAAUUAAAAUUUCUU